CCUACGGGAGGCAGCAGUGGGGAAUCUUGGGCAAUGGGCGCAAGCCUGACCCAGCAAUGCCGCGUGAAGGAAGAAGGCUUUCGGGUUGUAAACUUCUUUGACAGGGGAAGAGCAGAAGACGGUACCCUGAAAACAAGCCACGGCUAACUACGUGCCAGCAGCCGCGGUAAUACGUAGGUGGCAAGCGUUGUCCGGAUUUACUGGGUGUAAAGGGCGUGUAGCCGGGAAGGCAAGUCAGAUGUGAAAUCUGGAGGCUCAACCUCAAAAUUGCAUUUGAAACUGUUUUUCUUGAGUACUGGAGAGGCAGACGGAACUCCUUGUGUAGCGGUGAAAUGCGUAGAUAUAAGGAGGAACACCAGUGGCGAAGGCGGUCUGCUGGACAGCAACUGACGGUGAGGCGCGAAAGUGUGGGGAGCAAACAGGAUUAGAUACCCCGGUAGUC
rnacentral:rRNA from 1 species